rnacentral:misc_RNA from 1 species
UUAUUUUGAUGUGUUUUUCUUUUUUAGUUGUAAUUUAUUUGGUUUUAGCAGUUUUUUCAUCGAGUUUUCAAAAAUAUUAUCAAUGAAAAAUCAGCAUGACGUUUACGAUGGAUUUAACAUCAUUGAAGAACCAGCACGAUCUUUAGGAAUAAUUUUUUUUGUAUUUGAAAAUCGUUUGGGAUUUAUUUUUUAAUUGACUUCACAUUUUUGAACUAUAGAUUUUCAAUAUUCUUCAAUCAAGAUUUUUUCUGCGAAAAAUAUUAAGAAGAAAAGAAAAAGAAAAAGAAAAAAAUUAUAGUAAAGAUAAAAAUAAAAGCAGAAAAUGGGUUGCGCCGUGUCAUGUAGGAGCAAUCACGAACUAAUAACGAAAGAAAACGGUAAAAAGAGAAAAACUUGUUUGGAGAAAAACGAACUUUGUUCAGCAGAAAACGUUCUUACUCCUGUACAAAUAAAAAAUGAAGUUCGAUACUUUAAGUUUCCAUUGUCCAAAAAGGAAGUUGAAGCAUUAAAGAAUUCAUGGGAUCACGUAAAAUCUAGAUGGUUUGAACUAUUAAAAGUCGUCUUUCGAAGAUGGUUUACAACACACCCUACAGUAAGAAAACUUUUUAAAAAUCUCCCGGCAAACUCUUCAUUUGAAGAACUACUUGUUUCUAAAGAACUUGUAAUUCAUGUGCAAAGAAUAGAAUCGGCAGUUGAUAUCGUAAUUAGCAAAGUAGAUAAAAUUGAAGAUUUGAUAUUACUUCUAAUCGAACUUGGUAGAUUGCAUUAUGAACUAGGAGUUAACCAAAGCCACGCCAAUGCUCUUGCGGCAAGUUUUCAGUUUGGGAUUUGUGAAGUAUUUCAAGGUAUUGAUUUAGUAACAGAGAGUGCCUGGGACAGUCUUCUACGCUUUAUAAUGGACAUCUUUAAAUACGGUAUACGGUUAGAGGAAAAAGCACUUAACCUUAAGAACAAGCUAUAAAACACGCAAAUGCAUCUUAACGACGUAAAACACGCAAAUGCAUCUUAACGACGUAAAAGGAAAAAAAAAAUACUGGAACACAUUUGUGUAACAAGAGUAGUUUUUGUUUAUAAAAAAUUGAUUUUAGUACUUAGUUAGUUGCUACAAAUGAAAAAAAAAUUCUUUUUAUUUUUAACAAUAUUAAUAAUUAGCAACGACCUCCACCUCUCGAUAAUAUGUGCUCUAUUUAUGUUUCCUUUUCUUUUAACAUGUGACCAAAACUUUGUGAUUAUGGAAUUAUUUUUUAUAAAAUAAAAUCUUAUGAC